AGCAAACUGAGCUCCAGACCUCACAGUCUCGCCUCCACAAGCUCAUCGCCCUCGAAAACCUCCCCGUCACGGUGACGCGAGCCUCUGGAUGUGCUGAGGUCGUGGAGGUACUCGGUGUAGACGCGGAUGACCUCCGGUGCUUCGAUCUUCUCGACUGAAACCUCGAGCACCAUUUUUGCGAAGCUCUUUUCUCUGAAGUCGAUGGCAGAAAAGAGAGCAGGAGAGUAGAGUGGUACUGGUGCGGUGAAGGUGGAGCGUUGGAUGAGAUGACCAUUGACUGCUUUGUGCCUGAAGAUGAGGAUGGACUAGAUGAGCUCAGUCUUCAGCAUCUGGUUUGAGCUUUGGCUUAAACGCUGCGUUCCAUUCUUGAUCUCUCAUUAAUGUGGUUGUCAAGGAGUUGGAAAUUAGAGGGAGUCUGGCACAGAACCUUCAGCAAUAUCUCUUGCACGAGGCUAAUCAGCGCUUGGACCAAGCAUCAGACAAAUACAAUCGUAUGGAGACGUAUUAUGAAAAAUAUGAGAAACCAUCAUUGUUUACAAUAUGAUCCGCAGAGGGCAUUUACAGUGUACAAUUUCUGGUUGAAGACUCAUAAACGGCAGGAAAUC